rnacentral:rRNA from 1 species
GUAGGCUGCAACUCGCCUACACGAAGUCGGAAUCGCUAGUAAUCGCGGAUCAGCAUGCCGCGGUGAAUACGUUCCCGGGCCUUGUACUCACCGCCCGUCACACCAUGGGAGUUUGUAACGCCCAAAGUCGGUGGCCUAACCUUUAUGGAGGGAGCCGCCUAAGGCGGGACAGAUGACUGGGGUGAAGUCGUAACAAGGUAUC